rnacentral:rRNA from 1 species
GACGUAGGGCGCGAGCGUUGUCCGGAUUUAUUGGGCGUAAAGAGAACGUAGGCGGUUUGCCAAGUUUGAUCUUAAAGACCGGGGCUUAACUCCGGGAGUGGAUCGAAAACUGGCAGACUAGAGGACGUCAGAGGAAAGUGGAAUUCCCAGUGUAGCGGUGAAAUGCGUAGAUAUUGGGAGGAACACCAGUGGCGAAAGCGACUUUCUGGGACGUUCCUGACGCUGAGGUUCGAAAGCUCGGGGAGCAAACAGG